AUUGAACGCUGGCGGAAUGCUUUACACAUGCAAGUCGAGCGGCAGCGCGGGGCAACCUGGCGGCGAGCGGCGAACGGGUGAGUAAUACAUCGGAACGUGCCCAGACGUGGGGGGAUAACUACUCGAAAGAGUGGCUAAUACCGCAUACGAUCUACGGAUGAAAGCGGGGGAUCGCAAGACCUCGCGCGUCUGGAGCGGCUGAUGGCAGAUUAGGUAGUUGGUGGGAUAAAAGCCUACCAAGCCAACGAUCUGUAGCUGGUCUGAGAGGAUGAUCAGCCACACUGGGACUGAGACACGGCCCAGACUCCUACGGGAGGCAGCAGUGGGGAAUUUUGGACAAUGGGCGAAAGCCUGAUCCAGCCAUUCCGCGUGCAGGAUGAAGGCCCUCGGGUUGUAAACUGCUUUUGUACAGAACGAAAAAGACUCUGGCUAAUACCUGGAGUCCAUGACGGUACUGUAAGAAUAAGCACCGGCUAACUACGUGCCAGCAGCCG
rnacentral:rRNA from 1 species